rnacentral:rRNA from 1 species
UACGUAGGGGGCUAGCGUUGUCCGGAUUUAUUGGGCGUAAAGAGCGUGUAGGCGGCCAUUUAGGUCCGGUGUGAAAACUCGAGGCUCAACCUCGAGACGUCGAUGGAAACCGUCUGGCUAGAGUCCGGAAGAGGAGUGUGGAAUUCCUGGUGUAGCGGUGAAAUGCGCAGAUAUCAGGAAGAACACCAAUGGCGAAAGCAGCUCUCUGGGACGGUACUGACGCUGAGACGCGAAAGCGUGGGGAGCGAACAGG